GGGCUUUAAAGGAAUAAAAAGGAAAGAGCUGAUGACAGGCUUAGAAAGCAACAGAAGAAGAGACCAAGAUGAAGGAGUCUGAGCUAAUGCGAGGAAACCCGCUGAUCAAUAUGAAUAACUUCUGCUCCUUCGACGUGGAAGUAACAAUGCUGCCUACUAUAUUAUAUUAUGCAGGGUCAUGGAGAGACCAAGACACCGAAACGGUUCAUCAACUACACCGUCAUAAGUGAUUUCCACCGCAAGUUUCUGCAUAGGUACUAUGCCUCCUGCCUAGUGAGCUGCAGGUCUUCUUCCCCCAUCACCUGCAGGCAUUGACGACCACCAUGGCCUGCUGGAGCUCCUGCUCAGGUGAUGACGCACCCGUGCUCCUCCGACCAUGUUACUGCCGACGCCAUGUAGCGGCAACUUGCAGCAGGAUCCCCGACCCCUUCCCAACGAGCUGCCUGCAGGAUUCAAGCCGGCAUGUGAAGAUGAGAAGAGCAGCAAGCUGGUGGGCAAAGUCUUCUUCUGCAGUGACAACAACCUCAUGAGCACCGGGCUGCACGACCGCCUGCAGCUGCAACAGAGGAGCGGGAAUGAGCUGCAGGCACUAGACGACCAGGACCUGGCUAAGUUGCGUUCAAGUGACGAAUUGAUGGAGCUUAAGCUGGCCUUCAACGCCACAGCUAGGCAGAGGUUGGGCAGCUGGCCUGCUGACACCAAUGCCUAAUCUUUUUUGGUACAGUGCCUCCUGCCUAGUGAGCUGCAGGUCCUCUUCCCCCACCACCUUCAGGCAUUGAAGACCACAAUGGCCUGCUGGAGCUCCUGCUCGGGUGACGAUGUGCCCGUGCUUCUCCGACCCUGUUACUGCCGACGCCAUGGAGCGGCAACUUGCAGCAGCAUCUCCGACCCCUUCCCAACGAGCUGCCUGAAGGAUUCAAGCAGGUGCGUGAGGAUGAGAAGAGCAGCAAGCUGGUGGGCAACGUCUUCUUCCGCAGCGACAACAACCUCAUGAGCGCCGGGCUGCACGACCGCCUGCAGCCGCAACAGAGGAGCAGGAGGAAUGAGCUUCAGGCACUAGAGCAGUGUCCUGUUUCUUGUUGCAUGGAACGUUAGCCUUCAUUUACUUGGUUAGAGCAGUGUCCUGUUUCAGCUCUUUUGUUUGGUUUUCUUUAGUCUUGGGACUGAACGUCUUGUUUUGUUUUGGGCGUGGAGUGAUCGGGCGUUGUAUAUACAGUAGUAAUCUAAGGACUCG